rnacentral:rRNA from 1 species
UACGAAGGGGGCUAGCGUUGCUCGGAAUUACUGGGCGUAAAGGGCGCGUAGGCGGAUAGUUUAGUCAGAGGUGAAAGCCCCGGGCUCAACCUGGGAAUGGCAUUUGAUACUCUGAGGCUGGAGUACGGGAGAGGAGAGUGGAAUUCCCAGUGUAGAGGUGAAAUUCGUAGAUAUUGGGAAGAACACCGGUGGCGAAGGCGGCUCUCUGGACCGUAACUGACGCUGAGGCGCGAAAGCGUGGGGAGCAAACAGG